UACGGGGGGAGCAAGCGUUGUUCGGAUUUACUGGGCGUAAAGGGCGCGUAGGCGGCGCAACAAGUCACUUGUGAAAUCUCCGGGCUUAACCCGGAGCGGUCAAGUGAUACUGUCGUGCUAGAGUGCGGAAGGGGCUACUGGAAUUCUCGGUGUAGCGGUGAAAUGCGUAGAUAUCGAGAGGAACACCUGCGGCGAAGGCGGGUUGCUGGGCUGACACUGACGCUGGAGGCGCGGAAAGCUAGGGGAGUGAACGGG
rnacentral:rRNA from 1 species